UACGUAGGGGGCAAGCGUUGUCCGGAUUUAUUGGGCGUAAAGCGUGCGCAGGCGGUUUUGUAAGCCCGAUGUGAAAGCCCCGGGCUUAACCUGGGAAUGGCAUUUGGGACUGCAAGGCUGGAGUACGGCAGAGGGAGGUGGAAUUCCAGGUGUAGCAGUGAAAUGCGUAGAUAUCUGGAGGAACACCGAUGGCGAAGGCAGCCUCCUGGGAUAGUACUGACGCUCAUGCGCGAAAGCGUGGGGAGCAAACAGG
rnacentral:rRNA from 1 species